ACUGCUCAGUAACACGUGGACAACCUGCCCUUAGGUUGGGUAUAAACCCGGGAAACUGGGUAUAAUACCCGAUAGGUCUCGAUUGCUGGAAUGCAUCGAGAUUUAAAGCUCCGGCGCCUAAGGAUGGGUCUGCGGCCUAUCAGGUAGUAGUGGGUGUAACGUACCUACUAGCCUACGACGGGUACGGGUUGUGAGAGCAAGAGCCCGGAGAUGGAUUCUGAGACACGAAUCCAGGCCCUACGGGGUGCAGCAGGCGCGAAAACUUUACAAUGCUGGCAACAGCGAUAAGGGAACCUCGAGUGCCAGGUUACAAAUCUGGCUGUCGAGAUGCCUAAAAAGCAUUUCAUAGCAAGGGCCGGGCAAGACCGGUGCCAGCCGCCGCGGUAACACCGGCGGCUCGAGUGGUAACCGUUAUUAUUGGGUCUAAAGGGUCUGUAGCCGGCCGGAUAAGUCUCUUGAGAAAUCUGGCAGCUUAACUGUCAGGCUUUCAGGAGAUACUGUCUGGCUCGAGGCCGGGAGAGGUGAGAGGUACUUCAGGGGUAGGGGUGAAAUCUUGUAAUCCUUGAAGGACCACCAGUGGCGAAGGCGUCUCACCAGAACGGACCUGACGGCAAGGGACGAAAGCUAGGGGCACGAACCGGAUUAGAUACCCGGGUAGUCCUAGCCGUAAACGAUACUCGCUAGGUGUCGGCCACGGUGCGACCGUUGUCGGUGCCGUAGGGAAGCCGUGAAGCGAGCCACCUGGGAAGUACGGCCGCAAGGCUGAAACUUAAAGGAAUUGGCGGGGGAGCAC
rnacentral:rRNA from 1 species